UAGUGGCGGACGGGUGAGUAACGCGUGGGGAACCUGCCCCGUACCGGGGGAUAGCGGCUGGAAAACGGCCGGUAAAACCGCAUGAGCGCACAGUACCGCAUGGUACGGUGUGAAAAACUCCGGUGGUACGGGAUGGACCCGCGUCCGAUUAGCCAGUUGGCGGGGCAACGGCCCACCAAAGCGACGAUCGGUAGCCGGCCUGAGAGGGCGUACGGCCACAUUGGGACUGAGACACGGCCCAGACUCCUACGGGAGGCAGCAGUGGGGAAUCUUCCGCAAUGGGCGAAAGCCUGACGGAGCAACGCCGCGUGAGUGAAGAAGGCCUUCGGGUCGUAAAAGCUCUGUUGUCGGGGACGAAUGUACGAGCUAUCAACAACAGCUUGUAAUGACGGUACCUGACGAGGAAGCCACGGCUAACUACGUGCC
rnacentral:rRNA from 1 species